UUAAUUAAUUGAAUAAUUUAUCAGAACUGCACGAAAUAAUCGCUGGAGUUUUGUAUACUGGCGGGCGCUUAGCCUGACGUCCUGGCCGGUGAGGGCUGGGGGCGCCGGCCGCCCGGGUCGAAACCGGGUCGGCCCGCCAAAGCAACAUGGUAAGGUACACAAGGGUGUGAGAGGACCUUCCCCGGCCCCCUUGUUUAGGGGGGACCGGGUACCGGCGACCUUUCAGAGAAUUACUAGUUCAGUAAUGAUCCUUCCGCAGGUUCACCUACGGAAA
rnacentral:misc_RNA from 1 species